ensembl:lncRNA
GUGUGUCAGAAAACAAGAAGCCGCUCCAAGCAGCCUCUCUUCGGCGCCUGGUCACGUGCAGGGAGAAUCGAGCCGCUGGUUGUUGAUUUGUUAGCUUCUAAAAGGAUUUAAUAUCUCGCUCCAUCUAUCUUAUCUCAUAUCGAAAUCCCACGGGAGGCAGCGGGUAUAUACCCACGCUAUUGAACCUGUCUGACUCGGGGACGCAGCACAGAGAACUAGAGAGAUCAACCUUUGGCCUUGUAGACCCGACUCGAAAUGUUAAAAAGGUCAAAGAUGUCUGACCUGACGACGACCGGGCAAGGUCGCUCCCUUGUUCUUCGCUAUAUACAGCAUUUUAAUGAGGUGUCUGGCACCAAGUCAGGUGAAAAGCUGUAUUCACGACCGGUAGACAAACAUAGAUUAUUUUUGAUGUUCCCCCUGCCCCCUCCACAUCUCCACCCUCCACCCAAUCAUGUCUAAUGACG